CCUACGGGUGGCUGCAGUGAGGAAUAUUGGACAAUGGACGAGAGUCUGAACCAGCCAAGUAGCGUGAAGGAUGACUGCCCUAUGGGUUGUAAACUUCUUUUAUAAAGGAGUAAAACGAGACACUAGUGCCUUUUUGCAUGUACUUUAUGAAUAAGGAACGGCUAACUCCGUGCCAGCAGCCGCGGUAAUACGGAGGAUCCGCGCGUUAUCCGGAUUUAUUGGGUGUAAAGGGAGCGUAGAUGGUUUGUUAAGUCAGGUGUGAAAGGUUGCGGCUCAACCGUAAAAUUGCAAUUGAGACUGGCAGUCUUGAGUACAGUUGAGGUAGGCGGAAUUCGUGGUGUAGCGGUGAAAUGCGUAGAUAUCACGAAGAACCCCGAUUGCGAAGGCAGCUUACUAAACUGUGACUGACAUUGAGGCUCGAAAGCGUGGGUAUCAAACAGGAUUAGAUACCCCAGUAGUC
rnacentral:rRNA from 1 species